AUUGAACGCUGGCGGCCGGCCUAACACAUGCAAGUCGAGCGAGCGGAGGACGGGUGAGUAAAGUCUGGGAAACUGCCUGAUGGAGGGGGAUAACAACUGGAAACGGUAGCUAAUACCGCAUCCCAUCAGAGGUGCCCCUAUGGGAUUAGCUAGUAGGUGGGGUAACGGCUCACCUGGGCGAAGAUCCCUAGCUGGUCGGAGAGGAUGACCAGCAACAUUGGAACGGAGACACGGUCCGGACUCCGACGGGAGGAGGCAGUGGGAAGUAUUGGACAAGGGGCACAAGCCUGAUGCGUCCAGGCCGGGUGUGGGAGAAGGGCCUUGGGUUUGUAAAGCACUUUCAGCGGGAAGGCGUUACCCGCAGAGGAAGCACCGGCUAACUCCGUGCCAGCAGCCGCGGUAAUUC
rnacentral:rRNA from 1 species